AUGGCCAGUCUCUCUCCUUGAAGCAGACAACCAGGGCUACUACAUGUGAGCUACCAUCUUUCUCUCUCUCUCUUUCUCAUGGAGGCAGACAGAGAAACAGAAGUGUGAGGACAUCGUCUCUCCUAUUCAGGUGGGCAGUAGCAGGAUGUGAGCAAAGUGGCUUCUGUCGUCUCUCUCCUUGAAAUGAUCAGCGGAGUGUAGGCAGAGAAACAGCAGGCAAGGAGGGGAAAAGAAUGGGCAGUUUGGCACUCUAGUUAUUAGUACUCUCCCCCCUCCGCCUUACUGUGAGCAUUCAUGGGGUAUUGCCAAGCUGUUGAAGUAUUACCAUCAUAUUACUCCAUACACAUUACAGGGCUGUCCAAUCCAUCUGCCAAUUCCUGCCCCGAUUCUUGCUCUUCCCAGAGACUAGGGGUUGCUGUCCCUGCUUGCUUCGGCCACCAACCUCAUUGACCCAUAGGUCAACUGCCCUUCCUCUACACCUGAACAACCCCCUCUCUUUACACCUCAUCUACUCUGGCUAUCCCUCGCAUCUUGCCCCAAACCCUUCACUUCCCAAGCCCCACCCCAUUUUAAAGGAGGCAGGAGGAGCUUCACAGAGUGACUUGUUAAACCACUGUGUGAAGCACCUCCCCUUUUCGUUUAACCUCACUGCAGGUGGGUUCAGUGCACCUUCUCCCUUCCAUUAAACAACUCAUGUGGUUCAGCUUGCCAUUCCUUAUGCCACAGUAGAUAAUAAUAAUAAAUAAUAAAUUUUUAUUUAUACCCUGCCCUCCCCAGCCAAGACCAGGCUCAGGGCGGCUAACAACCAAUAAUAAAAACAAGUUGAUUAAAAUACAAUUUAAAAGAUUAAGAUACAACAUUAAAACAUUAGGGUGCAAUCUCUUCAUAGGAGGAGAAAGGAAAAAGAAAGAGGGGGAGGGAAUCAAACUGAUUCCAAGUGGAGCCAGGUGGAACAACUCUGUCUUACAGGCCCUGUGGAAAGAAAUCAGAUCCCGCAGGGCCCUGGUCUCAUGAGACAGAGCAUUCCACCAGGCCAGAGCCAGUGUUGAGAAGGCCCUGGCUCUGGUUGAGGCUAAUCUAACUUCCUUAGGGCCCAGGACCUCUAGGGUGUUGCUAUAUAUGGACCUUAAGGUCCUCUGUGGGGCAUACCAGGAGAGGCUUGAUGAACUGCAGAGCUUGACCACACCUUACAUUUUUUAUUAUAUAGGAAGAAAUAAUUCACCAUAAUUUAUUCUCUUUUUUAAAAAAAUAACAAUUCAGCAUGCUAAAUGUCUAGCUGAUUCACUUUUCUUCAAAGAUACAAUCAUACAUUCUAUACACACCGAGAACCAUACAGGAGAAAAUGUCCUGUCCCCUGCCCUACCUUAUCUCUUUUUACCUCGGGGAUGCCUCAUUUACUUGACCUCACUCUUGGUUGCUCCUUUAAGGCUUGCAGAAACCCCCAAUGAUAUCCAGGCCGCCUUAUAGGUUAACUGGGAGUGCUUUGGAAGGUGUGAUGAAGAAAUAUUUUUAAAAGCUUGUUUCAAUAAAAGACAGUUUACAGCUGUUAGCCUGCACAUCAGGCUUUGGAUGGUGAUAUAGCUACACGAUCUGGAAGAAGUGGUGGGGUAAAGGAGGUGGUGGUGGAAUAAAAUAAAAGGAUGCUUUACUAUUCAUAUGUUAGCAGCAGAGGAUGCCUUGUUGCUGUUGUUUUUAAUAAGAGAGGACCGCACACUGAUAUAUGCUCCUUUUUAUUGUUCUGUAUCCCAGUUUAGCUUGGCUUGCUUAUUACAGAGUUGUGAUAGGAAAUCCUUCCUUCCUGGCAAAGUCCUAACAAUGAGUUACUGCCAGACAACAGCCUUUCAUCAGUUCUUGGAGGGAUAGACAACAGCUCACCUCCAUCUGACUGCUCUGUUUUCCAGCACGGGGAGACAAUUUAUGGAGGCUGCGGACAAAGUAAAAGUUCAGAGAGCACUUUCUCCUAUGCUGAGAAAGAAUGUCUGAGUCAUAAUAUGGGAGUCUUUACAUCGAUUAAAUGGCUCUGAGGGGACCAAGCACUAAGAAACUGGCUUUCUGUUUUAAGGAUAGAUCAUCUUGGAGAGGAAUGAGGGUUUUCUGUUCCUGUAUUCUCAGCAUAUAAAUACUGGGUUAUGGUUAUUUAGGGGGAGUCUGUGCACUCUCUCUCUCUCUCUCUCUCUCUCUGUGUGUGUGUGUGUGUGAGAGAGAGAGAGAGGGACGUGCAGAAAUGUAGAAAUGUGCACAUCUCAAGCAUGUAGGCACUGUUCAUACGCAGAACUUCUGCCAGAAUGGGGCGUGUGAGGAAGCCAAGCUGUUAAUUCUCAGGCUUAUGGUUUUUGGAUGUCCUCCUUAGUCUGGAUGCCCGCAGUCUUCUGUCACUAUAACAAAUCACGGGUUUGGACUGUUCCUUCUUCCAACCUGUUGUUAAUGUUGUACAUGCUUGCCUUCUAUAUAUUACCCCUUCCAAUUUCACACUCGUAUCAACAUUUCUGCUCUCUAUGCCAUUCUUUGCCACUCUGACCAAAUCUUUCUUAGCUGGUAACCUCUUGUUGCUUCCAGUUCUGUGCGUGUUUACUCAUCCAUUUCUGCUUCACCAGUUUGUCAUUGUCACUCACCAUGUGAGCAAUGUAAGAUUCCCAUUCACUGUUCUUCUGUUGCUAAUGUCAGGCUCCUCUUAAUUAGGGAUGGACAAAGUUGACCAUUUAAAUUCUUUAGUUUCUCUUUUUUCUAAUCUUAAAUUCACUUCUGUUCUCCACACUUCCAAAUCAGCUUGGGAUUUUUAUUUUUUUAAAGGUCCUCCUGAAAAUUCAUUAGCACUUUAGUGAACAUUUCUCCUAAUACAUUUGUUGUUAAAUUAUUUAAUCAUUUAAUUAUCUUGCCCAAGUCAACCCAAAGUGAAUUACACCAACCAAAUAAACAAACAAAAAACCCCCACAUAUAAACAUACCUUGAAAAGGCCACAUAUACACAUAUGUACAAUUUUCCCCAAUACAGUGGUGCCCCACAAGACGAAUGCCUCGCAAGACGGAAAACUCGCUAGACGAAAGGGUUUUCCGUUUUUUGAGCUGCUUCGCAAGACGAAUUUCCCUAUGGGCUUGCUUCGCAAGACGAAAAUGUCUUGCAAGUUUGUUUCCUUUUUCUUAACACCGUUAAUACAGUUGCAACUUGACUCGAGGAGCAACUCAAAGAACGCAGUGUACAUAGUAGCCUUUUUUGAGGUUUUUAAAGACUUUGGUGAUUUUUGAAGCUUUUCCAAAACUUCUUUUGCAGCCAUUUGGUAAGUUAAGCUUUUAAAACUUUUGGGGGGGGGGGUUGGAUUUUGGGUUGGGGUGUUUGGAAUUCAAGGACUUGGUGUUGGGGAGGGGUUUGCAAGAAUCUGGAAGCUUGUGUGUUUUUUUCCUGCAUUUGUAUGAUUUUCUGUGACCAUUGGGGCACUCUGCUGUUUUUUUUAAAAAAAUCUGGAUUUGAAUUUCUGUGUGCUGGGUGGCUGGGGGAACAGUUGGGGAGGGGUUUGCAAGAAUCUGGAAGCUUGUGUGUUUUUUUCUGCAUUUUUAUGAUUUUCUGUGACCAUUGGGGCACUCUGCUGUUUUUUUAAAAAAUUUCUGGAUUUGAAUUUCUGUGUGCUGGGUGGCUGGGGGAACAGUUGGGGAGGGGUUUGCAAGAAUCUGGAAGCUUGUGUUUUUUUCUGCAUUUUUAUGAUUUUCUGUGACCAUUGGGCCACUCUGCUGUUUUUAAAAAAAAUUUCUGGAUUUGAAUUUCUGUGUGCUGGGUGGCUGGGGGAACAGUUGGGGAGGGGUUUGCAAGAAUCUGAAAGCUUGUGUGUUUUUUUCUGCAUUUUUAUGAUUUUCUGUGACCAUUGGGGCACUCUGCUGUUUUUAAAAAAAAUUCUGGGUUUGAAUUUUGAAAUGCUCUUUACAGUAUGUGUGACUUUAAAGAGCACUUAAUAAACUCUUGUUGUACCAAAUUUGGCUUUGUUUGGACUUUUUUGACCAUAGGAACGCAUUAAUUGAUUUUCAAUGCAUUCCUAUGGGAUUUCGUGCUUCGCAAGACGAAAAAUUCGCUAGACGAAAAAAUUCGCGGAACGAAUUAAUUUCGUCUUGCGAGGCACCACUGUAUGCACAUUUUUUUGCAAAGUGAUUUCCCCUAAUAUAAUGUGUUUCUGCAUGUUGUUUUCACUAAUAUAUGCAGUUCUCUGCAUACUUUACCCUAGCAUAUGCUUGAUACCUGGAGAACUGCACUGCAAAAUUUGGAGAAUCGCAGAUUUUGAAGGUUGGCUCCAAGAUCGUCUUUCGAUUCAUAUAUUGUUUCAGAAGAUGUGAAUUAUGUAAGUUUGCCUGAAUCAAAUUUCUCCCCAUCCCUCCACCCUUUCUCUUGUAUGAUUGGAUCAUAAAAAGCAUCAAACAUCCUUCUGUGGUGUGUCAUUUGCGAUUUUAUCUUGCCAAUGAAAACUGAAUGUUUCACAUAAAUACUUCAUUUUAUAAAGAUUUAAACUUCACUGAUGCCUUUAUUCAGGCUCCCACUCAACACAUGCAGCAAUAUGGGAUUAAUUGCAGGCAUAUGUACUCACAGUCUUACUUUAUCUUUCCAUAUGCUGGUAAGAAGAAAAAGUAAAGGUAAAGGACCCCUGAACAGUUAAGUCCAGUCAAAGGACACUACGGGUUUGCGGUACUCAUCUUGCUUUUCAGGCUGAGAGAGCCAGCGUUUGUCCACAGACAGUGUUAUGUACUGAGCUGAAUCCUAGAACAACAGGAUCCAGAAUGCAGCAGUCUGAUUGGUCCGUGGGAGCCACCCAAUCCAGCUCCAGGUGGAAGUGAAUCAGCAAUCUGAUUGGCCUGCAGGAGCAGCCAAUAAAGCUUCUGGAGGAGGUGAAUCCGCAACCUGAUUGGCCAACAGGAGCAGCCCAGAAUUAGCCAAUCACGCGGGGCCCAUUGUGUAAAUAAUGUAUAUAUAGAGAGACAUUUUGGGG
rnacentral:lncRNA from 1 species